rfam:Brassica oleracea var. oleracea cultivar TO1000 chromosome C2, whole genome shotgun sequence
AACCCAUGGUGAGGGCAUUGUCUCUGGUAUUCUUUGUAUCGCUCCCAAGCUUCAUGGAAAGGCUCAUCGGAUCUUUGCUUGAAAUUGGAGAUUAUGUGCCUUAAAGCU